GUGAAUCAUCGAAUUUUUGAACGCAAAUUGCGCUUCCUUGCAUCCCGGGGAGUAUGCCUGUUUGAGGGUCAGUAUUAACAAAAAAUCGGUGUGGUUGCAAAUUGUGACGUUUCCGGUGUUUGGGCUUUCUUAACUUUUUUUUUUAAGGGGCUUAAAAUUGACCUUUUUUGCGCAUUUUUAGUCGUACAUAAAUUUUUUUUUGUUUAGGGUAUUCUUUAUUCCUAAAUCUUAUUAACAUCUAUCACAU
rnacentral:misc_RNA from 1 species